rnacentral:rRNA from 1 species
UCCUGCCGGAGGCUACCGCUAUUGGAGUUCGAUUAAGCCAUGCGAGUCGAGAGUCUUAGGGACUCGGCGUACCGCUCAGUAACACGUGGGUAACCUGCCCUAUGCUGGGGAAUAACCUCGGGAAACUGAGAAUAAUGCCCCAUAGUCCACAAUGCCUGGAACGGUUUGUGGAUUAAAGCCCCGGCGGCAUAGGAUGGGCCUGCGGCGUAUCAGGUUGUAGGGGGUGUAACGUACCCUCUAGCCAUCAACGCGUACGGGUGUUGGGAGACAUAGCCCGGAGAUGGAUUCUGAGACACGAAUCCAGACCCUACGGGGUGCAGCAGGCGCGAAAACUUGGCAAUGCGAGAAAUCGUGACCAGGGAACUCCAAGUGGCUGGGGUAAGACCCAGUCUUUUCUUGACUCUUCAAAGGUCUUGGAAUAAGAGGUGGGUAAGGACGGUGCCAGCCGCCGCGGUAAUACCGGCGCCUCAAGUGGUAGUCGAUUUUAUUGGGCCUAAAACGUCCGUAGCCUGUUUGGUACAUUCGUGGGUAAAUCAACCAGCUCAACUGGUUGAAUUCUGCGAGCACGGCCAGACUUGGGACCGGGAGAGGUGUGGGGUACGCUCAGGGUAGGGGUAAAAUCCUGUCAUCCUGAGCGGACCACCUGUUGCGAAGGCGCCACACUAGAACGGAUCCGACGGUCAGGGACGAAGCCUAGGGGCACGAACCGGAUUAGAUACCCGGGUAGUCCUAGGUGUAAACGCUGUGGACUUGGUGUUGGGGAUUCUCCGAGGAU